AUUUUUGCACGUUUGAAAUUUAUUUUGUAUGACAAUUACAUAGAUAUAGAUAACGCAAACGAUAAUUACACUGAACAGAAGAAGGGUCUACGACAGGUGUUUUUUGAAAGAGUAUAGAAGAGGCAUCACAACGCUUAUUUACAAAAAUACUGUAAACACGAAAAGACUUUGCAACUUUCAACAUAUUCAAUAGUGUACAUGAAAAAAAUGGAUGAAACUAUCUUCUGUCUUAUGCAUCACGAAUGCUGCAUUACUUUGGGCUGCAGUGCAUGCAUACGAUCCAUGGGGAAAUUGGGGUGGUAGAAAGCGCCGUCAACUCUAAAAGAAAAUGAGCCACGCCAGUUUGAAACCUUUCUUGGAAUAACAGAAUAAACAUAAAUAAAGAAAAAUAUUGAAA